rnacentral:rRNA from 1 species
AGUCACUGACAUUAGAUACCCGCGUAGUCCAGGGUGUAAACGCUGCAGACUUGGUGUUGGAAAAUCCCUUCGAGGGUAGUUCCAGUGCCGGAGAGAAGUUGUUAAGUCUGCGUACUUGGGAGUACGUCCGCAAGGAUGAAACUUAAAGGAAUUGGCGGGGAGCACCGCAACGGGAGGAGCGUGCGGUUUAAUUGGAUUCAACACCGGAAAACUCACCAGGGGACGACUGUUACAUGAAACCCAGACUAAUGAUCUUGGUUGAUUUUCAG